rnacentral:rRNA from 1 species
AACGCUAGCUACAGGCUUAACACAUGCAAGUCGAGGGGCAGCAUGAACUUAGCUUGCUAAGUUUGAUGGCGACCGGCGCACGGGUGAGUAACACGUAUCCAACCUGCCGAUGACUCGGGGAUAGCCUUUCGAAAGAAAGAUUAAUACCCGAUGGCAUAAUUCUUCCGCAUGGUAGAACUAUUAAAGAAUUUCGGUCAUCGAUGGGGAUGCGUUCCAUUAGGUUGUUGGCGGGGUAACGGCCCACCAAGCCUUCGAUGGAUAGGGGUUCUGAGAGGAAGGUCCCCCACAUUGGAACUGAGACACGGUCCAAACUCCUACGGGAGGCAGCAGUGAGGAAUAUUGGUCAAUGGACGAGAGUCUGAACCAGCCAAGUAGCGUGAAGGAUGACUGCCCUAUGGGUUGUAAACUUCUUUUAUACGGGAAUAAAGUGAGGCACGUGUGCCUUUUUGUAUGUACCGUAUGAAUAAGGAUCGGCUAACUCCGUGCCAGCAGCCGCGGUAAUACGGAGGAUCCGAGCGUUAUCCGGAUUUAUUGGGUUUAAAGGGAGCGUAGGCGGACGCUUAAGUCAGUUGUGAAAGUUUGCGGCUCAACCGUAAAAUUGCAGUUGAUACUGGGUGUCUUGAGUACAGUAGAGGCAGGCGGAAUUCGUGGUGUAGCGGUGAAAUGCUUAGAUAUCACGAAGAACUCCGAUUG